CCCCCUGCCAUGGGCAGGGACACCUUCCACCAGCCCAGGUGGCUCCAAGCCCCGUCCAACCUGGCCUUGGACACUUCCAGGGAUGGAGCAGCCACAGCUUCUCUGGGCAACCUGUGCCAGGGCCUCCAACCCUCAUUGUAAAAAACUUCUUUCUUAUAUCAGAUCUCUGGAAACCCUGUUAGAAGCAGCACCUUUUCUAGGCCCAAUUGGAAAACUGGAGGAGCGAGGGUGAACUCCACCUGUAAACUGGUCCCGAGUGCCUGUCAGCAAUUCAAGUGGCAAAAUGAAAGAAGUUUGUCUCUCCAUGGCUGAAUUUCCCCUCUUCCCGUCAUUGAUUGCUGCAAUUUUGUUACUUUUAUGAAUUUAUGGCUGAGAGCAUAAGUAAUUUUUAAAUUUUUAUUUUUAAGUAUAUAUAUAGAGAGAUAAAUAUCUUCUAGGUUCUUACCUGCUGGCUCAGGGACUGACACUUUUUCUAAACACACUAUUGCUAGUAAUGGUGUAGGUUACAACAAAAACAUUUCAGUCAUUUUAUUUCAUCUGCAGUCAGAAAAAUCCAAGUUUUCUCGGUUGUGCUUAUGUGUAGAUGCAGAUUUGUACUAAUGCAUUUCCUUACCGUUAAUUUUCAAAUGCUCCCUUGCACAUAGGAAUAGAAGUUUGACUUCUACGUGUUCAUUUCAUUUAUUGCUGCGUUUUUAUUGCUCACAUUUCUCUUUGGUUAUGUCUCAAGGCUCAUUGAUGUACCAGAUCUUCAUGUACAUGUUCUGUAAGAAUUGCUAACAGAAAACAAACUUGUGUGAUGAGUAAUGGAAUUAUUUUUGAUUUUUUAAUUUGUCUUUUGUUGCUUCAUUUCCAUUGUAACAUGUAUUUAACCAGCAUCUGGCAGUCACUGGUUUCAUUGUGUGUGCUGCACCAAUUUAAAUGUAGCUCAGAACAAGUUCUGAAUGAGGCACUCA